rnacentral:rRNA from 1 species
UACAGGGGGGGCAAGCGUUGUUCGGAAUUACUGGGCGUAAAGGGCUCGUAGGCGGCCAACUAAGUCGGACGUGAAAUCCCCAGGCUCAACCUGGGAACUGCGUCCGAUACUGGAUGGCUUGAAUUCGGGAGAGGGAUGCAGAAUUCCAGGUGUAGCGGUGAAAUGCGUAGAUAUCUGGAGGAAUACCGGUGGCGAAGGCGGCAUCCUGGACCGACAUUGACGCUGAUGAGCGAAAGCCAGGGGAGCAAACGGG